rnacentral:tRNA from 1 species
CUGCUCGCGGCCGGCGACGCCGCGCGUCUGCAUACGUUCGCACCGUAUGUGCAGGCGCUCGCGCGCCUGUCCGAGGUCCGGAUCCUCGCGGACGAA